rnacentral:rRNA from 1 species
GAUGAACGCUGGCGGCGUGCUUAACACAUGCAAGUCGAACGGAAAGGCCCAAGCUUGCUUGGGUACUCGAGUGGCGAACGGGUGAGUAACACGUGGGUGAUCUGCCCUGCACUUCGGGAUAAGCCUGGGAAACUGGGUCUAAUACCGGAUAGGACCACAUUUUGGAUGGUGUGGUGGAAAGUUUUUCGGUGUGGGAUGAGCUCGCGGCCUAUCAGCUUGUUGGUGGGGUAAUGGUCUACCAAGGCGUCGACGGGUAGCCGGCCUGAGAGGGUGUACGGCCACAUUGGGACUGAGAUACGGCCCAGACUCCUACGGGAGGCAGCAGUGGGGAAUAUUGCACAAUGGGCGCAAGCCCGAUGCAGCGACGCCGCGUGGGGGAUGACGGCCUUCGGGUUGGAAACUCCUUUCGCUAGGGACGAAGCGUUAUGUGACGGUACCUGGAGAAGAAGCACCGGCUAACUACGUG